CGCGUAGGUGGUUUGUUAAGUCAGCUGUGAAAGCCCUGGGCUCAACCUGGGAACUGCAGUUGAUACUGGCCGACUGGAGUGCGGGAGAGGGAGGUAGAAUUCCAUGUGUAGCGGUGAAAUGCGUAGAUAUAUGGAGGAAUACCGGUGGCGAAGGCGGCCUCCUGGCUCGACACUGACGCUGAGGUGCGAAAGCGUGGGGAUCAAACA
rnacentral:rRNA from 1 species